CAGUGUGUUUGGGCUUAACACGGAUUCUGGCUGGAAUGACGAUACAAAUCUGUGAUGAGAAAGAGAGGGAGUGGGGCAAAGCGAGAGAUAGAGAGAGAGGGAGAGACAGAGACAGGGAGAUAGAUAGGGAGAGAGAGAGAGAGAGGGCGAGAGAACGAACUGAAAAGUGCCUGUGCGCACUCUGUGGACAGACAUUUUUGGAGACACCUCAUUUUUUUUUCUUUUAUAUAUGACCUUCCAGGUUAUUUUUAUAAUGAUAUUUGAAGAAACUGGGAUUUUGCUGCUCACAGACACUGACAUUCUACCCCCCGUCAGAAGAUGGUUAAAUAAACGCGCACGGUGCGCAAUGUCUAUUGCUCCAGGGAAUCAAGUCAAAAGAUGGUUCCUCUGCAGGUGCUUUGGCCUCCAGCCGGCCAGAUCUCUGCUGUGUGCUCUCCAUACCUCAACAAAAGCAACGCAAAGCAGUCUUCUACUACCACGAGAGUGUGUGGACUGUGUUGGAUGAACAGUCACAUUCAUAACAGAUCCACCCAGAACACGCAUCGGACUUCAUGGCAGAAACAAAAAAUCACUGCUGACGCCAAGGGAGACCAUCAAGGAUGUUGGUACACCUCACCUUAACAAGGUAAUGUAUAGUUUGUCUGAGAAAGACAUCUAAUCCAGACAAUGAAAGAGAAAGAGCCCACAGUAGGUGCCGUCCCAAACCCACUUCACCACGGGCUUAGACACAAGACUGGGCUCGGGGGUAGACAAAGCAGCAGCCCAGUGUAGAGGAAAUAACAGGCUGAGUGAUGCUAACUAAAUCCAGCCCUCAAUCCAUAUCUGAGUUCUCACACCUCUGACCAAAAGGCACUCUCUGUGUAUGACCUCACAAGGCAGUCUGUACAUAUGAUGCAGAGCCGAAAUGCUGCAGUGCCAUUGGUCCAGUGAAGAACAUAGAGGAUAAACAUGUUUCCUAGUCUUGUAAGAGGACUCGUCUUGGUUCAACACUCUCACUUAUGUUUGAGAACAUGAAAAUGGCUUCCUACAUUUACCACAGGGGGCAGUGAUUUUCAUUUUCACCUUUUUUGUUCACAAUAAGCAAGCAGAUGCAACAAUAGUGGCAGGAUGCACGGGAAGUGAGGCCCCACUGGACGUGAUAUGUUUAACCCUUUAAUACCUGGACAGUUUUUAAACAUGGUUGAAGAUGUGAAAUAUGUUACAUGAGGUUAUUCUUCACGCAAGAAACAUAUGUCUGUGUGAAAGGACUGUGUGGGUGGGGAUAUGAAACUGCUUUAGUAGGAUAGCCUGUACUGAGCACCUAAUCUAGCCACCCUUGUUCACUUAACCCUUUCAUGUACAACUGAACUCUACAGAUGACAACAAACAUUCUAGGAGCUAAUUGGUUCUCAUUAUGCUAAUUAGUUAGUCUAUUUAUUUUACAAAUUAAUCAAAUUAUGAUUUAAUCUAUCAGAAAUGUUGGCUUUGUUUAAUUUUUUCUAAAAACAUACAACUCCAUUAAGUGGAAUUGCCAACUUAGAACCGAAAUCUUAACAAAUCUGAAAAUGUCUUGAAUAAUUAUUGAGCAGUGAAAGGGUUAAUAACUAAAACAACUGUUCAUAAAUGUAAUUUAGCAUAUCAAAUAGCAAUAUAUAACACAAAAUCAUGUCGCAGUCUAGG